AAAAAAAUUAUAAUCUUGACAUAUUGUAAUCAAAUUAAUAUCCAAAAAGUAUCAGAGGAAUCUGCCACACACAAAUCAAGGUCCACUAAAAUAAACAUAACCAAUAGAAUAAUAAACUGGAAGGGGCCAAAAUACAAAUAAACCUAAAUUCCAAGAACAACCCAAAUCCCUAGUGCAGCAGCAGCUGCUGCUGCAAUGAGACCCAGUAACCCAGAUUACCAGCAAUAAAAAACCAAACCUAAAAACUAAAAAUUCAAAAUAAAACCAAGAACAGAAAAGGAUAAACAAAUUACAUAGAAAAACAAGAGAAUUAAAGAAACCCCCCUAGAAAGGUGCAGGUGCAGUGUAACCCAAGAAGGGUCUUCCAGUAGACCCACAAUAAGAUCCAUGAACAUUCGGAUCACAGAAAUUCACAGUAUCUUUGAUCUUGUGGAAGCCAUUCUUGAACACUCCAAACCCAAACAAAAGCCCCACCAAAACCACCACCAGUAUCAAACAAGUGCACAGCAUGCAAACUCUGCUUGGACAGCAGCACAUCUUUGCUUCACUUUGAGUGCUUCGAAUCUCUUUUUCCCUGGAAUUUCAGACCCAGAAAAAGGGUUCGCUGUUUGAGAUCUUGGGAUUUGGGAGAUGGGUUUUUAUCUGGGUUCUGAUAAAUGUGGGGGGAGUAGGGCUUUCGACGUCCUUAUCGGCGAUGGAGAAUGGAAACGCUUUGACGCUAAUGGGUAUCGUUCGCUUAAAAGGAAAGCAAAAUGAAUGCAUAUGGGUAUAUGGGAUUCGAAUUUUUGCCUUUUUAAUGGGUUGGAUAAUAGAAAGCAAAAUAAAAGGGUAUCUGUUAUUUUCCUCUUUUCCUCUAAACAAGAAAGACGGUUUGCUUUUGGACGUUGAUGACGUGGAGUGUUUUCAUAG
rnacentral:lncRNA from 1 species